GGGGAUUUGUGGUCUUCUUUUCAAUCUGAGUGACCCUUCAGGUCGUGUUCAUUUCUCCAGGACCGGUCAUGACCGUUACUGAUGGUGAGAGUGGCACAAGCUAUCUGGCAUGGAGGAUUAAAAACUAUUCAGGGAUCUGAAGCAGGACGCAGAUGAGCAUCACACAGAGGUUGGAACAAACAUCGUGGAAUACCUCCAGGGGGUGGAGUCCAGGCCCUAUCCGUCUGUUCUGACCCUUGGACAAGUGACGCAAAAUUGUUCACAAGCUUUUUCUGUGAUGGCUGGUCAGGGAUACCCUGAAGAUGCACUGGGGCAGUCGGUGUCUGCUUCAAGACAUUUUAUGUGUUUGAUAUCAACUACCCCAUGUAGUGUGCCUCUUCAUGGGAGUUCCUCCAGAAAGUGGUUUAUGACAUGGAGGGACCAGAAUCUAACAAAGUUAAGUUUUUAAAGACUGUCUUAAAGAAUGUCAAAGUGUUUAAAAAAAAUCUGAGUUCAUAAUAGUUUCUGAAAAAAAAAACAUGAAUUUGUUUCAGAUGCUUUUUCUGCUACUUGCUGCUUUUUCAAGAAAGCAUUUGUCUUCUGUAUUUUAUUGGUGCUACUUUUUGGGAUUUUAAUCUAAAUAAAUAUUUGUCAUGAAUUCCUUGGUUUCUUUCUUGGCGGUGAACAUAUUUUGGGUUGUAAUUUUUGAUUUUUAAAUGUUUUUUAUUGAAUGUUAAAGGUUAGGUUUUAUUGAACACAAAGGAGAAAAUGUAGAUUUUUAGAUUUAACCCAAGGUUGAGUUAAAUAAACUCAGGAGUUUGGUAAAUACGACCUUUGAAAUGGUUUGUUCAUUUAACCCAAAACUUGGGUUUGUGGAAUUAACCCACGAUUAUGAGUCAAAUAAACUCAAGAGUUGGGUUAACUAGACCUUUAAAUUGGGUUGUUAAUUAACCGAAUAUUUAGGUUGGUGGAACCAACCCAAAUUUCUGAGUUAAAAUAACCCAACAAAAAGGUAGUUCCUUUUCAACCCCUGGAGUUGGGUUAAAAAUAACCCAAGUUGGG